AACGAACGCUGGCGGCGUGCCUAACACAUGCAAGUCGAACGCGAAAAGCAGUAAUGCUGAGUAGAGUGGCGCACGGGUGAGUAACACGUAAAUGACAUGUCCUCGAGACGGGAAUAACCAGCCGAAAGGCUGGCUAAUACCCGGUAAGCCCACGUCUUUGGAGAUGAGGGAAAAGGGUCGGGAAUUUUCGAAUCCGAUCGCUUGAGGAGUGGUUUGCGGCCCAUCAGGUAGUUGGCGAGGUAAAAGCUCACCAAGCCUAAGACGGGUAGCUGGUCUGAGAGGAUGAUCAGCCACACUGGAACUGAGACACGGUCCAGACUCCUACGGGAGGCAGCAGUGGGGAAUCUUGCGCAAUGGGAGCAAUCCUGACGCAGCAACGCCGCGUGGGUGAUGAAGGUCUUCGGAUCGUAAAGCCCUGUCGGAGGGGAAGAUGCUUGGAACGUCUAAUAGAUGAGCCAGGUGACGGUACCCUCAAAGGAAGC
rnacentral:rRNA from 1 species